GACGAACGCUGGCGGCGUGGAUUAGGCAUGCAAGUCGAACGGUAUCAUCCUUUCGGGGGUGAGAGAGUGGCGAACUGGUGAGUAACACGUAGGUUAUCUACCCUCAAGACGGGGACAACCCAGGGAAACUUGGGCUAAUACCGAAUGUGAGCAACUUUUAAUAUUUGAAAGAUGGCGUAAGCUGUCGCUUGGGGAUGAGCCUGCGUCCUAUUAAUUAAUUGAUGAGGUAACGGCUCACCUAGACAAUGAUAAGUAGGCGGCCUUAACGGGUGUCGCCCAACUGGGAUUGAGAUACGGCCAGACUCCUACGGGAGCAGCAGUCGAGAAUAGUCUACAAUGGUCGGAAGACUGAUAGUGCGACGCCGGUGAACGAUGAAUCCCUUCGGGGUGUAAAGUUCUUUUAUAUGUGAGCAGUGCUUCUUAUAUUAACAGUAUGGGGAAGAGAUAUUAGCAUAUGAAAUAAGCAAACGGCUAAACGUCCCGUGCCCAGCAGCCGAC
rnacentral:rRNA from 1 species